GUCCCCGUGGCCUAAUGGUUAGGGCGUGUGACUUCUAUAUCUGGAGAUCUCAAGAUUGCGAGUUCGAGUCUCGCCGGGGACU